CCUACGGGAGGCAGCAGUGAGGAAUAUUGGUCAAUGGGCGCGAGCCUGAACCAGCCAAGUCGCGUGAGGGAAGACGGUCCUAUGGAUUGUAAACCUCUUUUGUCGGGGAGCAAAAGACGCCACGCGUGGCGUUCCGAGAGUACCUGGAGAAAAAGCAUCGGCUAACUCCGUGCCAGCAGCCGCGGUAAUACGGAGGAUGCGAGCGUUAUCCGGAUUUAUUGGGUUUAAAGGGUGCGCAGGCGGAAGAUCAAGUCAGCGGUAAAAUUGAGAGGCUCAACCUCUUCGAGCCGUUGAAACUGGUGUUCUUGAGUGAGUGAGAAGUAUGCGGAAGGCGUGGUGUAGCGGUGAAAUGCAUAGAUAUCACGCAGAACUCCGAUUGCGAAGGCAGCAUACCGGCGCUCAACUGACGCUCAUGCACGAAAGUGUGGGUAUCGAACAGGAUUAGAUACCCCAGUAGUC
rnacentral:rRNA from 1 species